CGUGUAGGCGGGGAUGCAAGUCUGAUGUGAAAGCCCCGGGCUUAACCUGGGAAGUGCAUUGGAAACUGCAUUUCUUGAGUACUGGAGAGGAAGGGGGAAUUCCCGGUGUAGAGGUGAAAUUCGUAGAGAUCGGGAGGAAUACCAGUGGCGUAGGCGCCCUUCUGGACGGUUACUGACGCUGAGACGCGAAAGCGUGGGGAGCAAACAGGAUUAGAUACCCUGGUAGUCCACGCUGUAAACGAUGAUCACUAGGUGUAGCGGGUACUCAUUCCUGCUGUGCCGCAGCUAACGCGUUAAGUGAUCCGCCUGGGGAUUACGGUCGCAAGACUAAA
rnacentral:rRNA from 1 species